UGUUAAAGUCAACGAAAGACCCCCAGAGUGGGGAGACCCUCACUCAAAUCUCGGGAUAAGCCGACACCCCAAUAAUUCAAGAGAGACC
rnacentral:pre_miRNA from 11 species